GGCACAUGCCACCACGCCCAGCUACAUUUCCUUUAGUCUAUUUUUUUAUAAUUUACUAGCCUGUUUGUUGAUAACAAGACUGGUGGUGCACAAGGUUGGGUCUUGGUGUUCAUCGGGCGGCGGGCAUGGGCCAGGUGGGAGGGUCUCCACCACCUGGUGCAAAUCUCCAAAGUGCAGGAAACACCAUCAAGGGUGAUUGUAAAGUUCUGGUUUGGCGCGGCGGGUAGGCGUUCCCACGCAGAAAUGAGCACGAAAACUUUUGCUGUGGUUGUAGGCAGGUCGGCCCCAAGCGCUUCUUAUUGGCUAAUGUGGAGAGAACCUGCACACCCAUUGGCUGAAAUCUCCGUCUAAUUGAGGCUGACUGAGAGCUUCCCUUCCUACUGUGUUGCCUGGAAGCGAACUGUCCGCCUAGUAACAUCUGAUCGCGUUUCCAAUUGGUCACCGUUUACGGAAGCCCGCCCUCCCUUUUCCGGAAGCCGGGCGGACGCUGGGGCUGCAGGUGAAGUACAGGUGCACAGUGGGAAGUGUGAUUGCGCAGAGUUGGGCUGUUCGGCCAAGCGCCCGCCGGACAUGGGACGCUGGAGGGUCAGCGGCGUGAAGUCCUCGCCUUCAGCGUCCACGGCUGGGAAAUUGGCUAUCGCCACGGCGGGAACUAGGACUCUGGCUGUGUCCCGGCCCUUCCUCAUCAGUCCACCGGACUCUUGGGCGCGCGCACUGGCGCGGGUGUAGUUUGCUCACCUCUGACCCGUAUUGUCUUGAGAUUAAAGGAAUUGGGAGCUUCUUUUGCUAUUCUUCUAUCUUGGAUGCAUUGGAAGAGCUGCUCCUGGAUCCUGCAGCAGCGAGGAGACCUGAAGACCAGAGGAAACACAGCAAUCCCUGGAUCCUCCUGGAAUCCCCGAUCCCUGUUGCUCCCUCGGGGAGGUUUCUAGUCCCUCUGACUUGAAGCAUGGCUUUCAGAGCCCGGCGCCACCCAGCUUGGGUAUUUGGUGAGUUCUGUGGUCUGCACGUCCAUGUUUGUGACAUUCUGGGAAGGGUGGCCCAGGCUGUGAUUUGCCAUCUACUGCUGCGGGCUAUGCAUGGUAUUCAGAAGGGAGGGGAGAUGCCGUGUGCGUGUUCUGAAGGGUUUCCCACUGCACAGACCAACCCUUUCCGUAACUAUUUGAUUUUUACUUUAUCUCCUUGUUGACUUCACACUGUCAGUGCAGUUUGUGUAAUCAUCUCUACGGGGUGAUGCAGGCAGAUAUAAAGUCUGCACGUGUGGGCAAACUCUCCAUAUCAUGUCAUUUAUUGUCCAUCAUUACAUGUCUAUGGUGUCUCGCUCAUUUCUCUCAUUUUCUGUCAUUUUACCUACUUUUACCUGAAGUACAAUGACUAUUUAAUAACUAUUAUUUCAUUUCAAUACACCUCUAUGGUAUUUUUUCACCUCACAUUGGACCUUCCUCCCUCACUGGACUUCAAUGGUGGGACCUGCAGGUCUCAGGCCUUCUGGGAUGUCCCAGUUUUACUUGAAUGUUCUCUCUGGCCGGCUCAGGCCGGAGCAGUGGGUGUUGGCGCCACCCUGUGGCUACAGGUGAUAAGCCGGCUGUUGUUGACUGAUCCCUGUCUUACCUUGAACCCUGGAGUUCUCACAUGCGUGGAUUUAAACGCUGUAUCUUUCUAAGGGCAGAUUGUGCCCAUUUUCCUUCUCUCCCUCCCAAGGUACUGUUUCCUGUGUUUAUUGACUCCCCGUUUUUUUUUUUUUAAAGAUAUAUAUAUAUAGAUAGAUGAAUUAGAUUGUACCCCAUAAAUUGCAUGUUUUAAAAAUACUUCAAAGAAUAGUUUUUCAUUUUUUUCUUGCUGAUUUUUACCUAUCUUCUAAAUUGUAUAUGGGGUAUAAAAUGAUGUGAUUUUUCAAUGCAGUGUGGAAUAAGAAUCAAAUUAAUCUAUCCGUUACCUCAAAUCCUUGACUUUUUUUUGUGGUGAGAAUGCUGUUUAUCACUUUCACUCAUCAGCUCCUGAUGUCUUCCAUGCCAGGGACAGAAAAGGCUCCACACUUGACUUUCCCUCCUGUUUUCUUUGUUUUUUUUUUUUUGAGACGGAGUCUUGCUCGGUUGCCCAGGCUGGAGUGCAGUGGCCGGAUCUCAGCUCACUGCAAGCUACGCCUCCCGGGUUCACGCCAUUCUCCUGCCUCGGCCUCCCGAGUAGCUGGGACUACAGGCGCCCGCCACCUCGCCCGGCUAGUUUUUUGUAUAUUUUAGUAGAGAUGGGGUUUCACCGUGUUAGCCAGGAUGGUCUCGAUCUCCUGACCUCGUGAUCCGCCCAUCUCGGCCUCCCAAAGUGCUGGGAUUACAGGCUUGAGCCACCGGGCCCGGCCUGCCCUCCUUUUUUCUUAUCGCUGUCAACCCCUGAAUGUGCCCUCCGGGAUUGUCUUCUCCACUUUCUCCACCUAGCCCGAUCCUUGUGCGUCUAGCUUCCUCUCAGGGACUGUCCUUAGGGAGUGACUUUAUGCACAGACUUCACAUGCUCUUCCUGCCUCCUUCAUCCCCAUAAGCCCCCAUCCUAGCCCCAUCUGAUUAUUUCUUCCCUCUCUCAUUUCCUGUUAUGCUGUUGGUUUUCUAACCUGAAGGGUAACUGCUUACUCCUUAGUUUUUUGCCGUAAUUUCUAAAUCUUAGGCUACUUUCAGGCUAAAAGUUUUCCUCCAGCCGUGGUUUUAGUCUCAUUCUAUAAGUCUUGGUAGGUAGUUUAUUCAUUGGAAAUUUUUUGUUUGUUUUUGAGACAGAGUCUUGCUCUAUCACCCAGGCUGGAGUGCAGUGGUGCCAUCUCGGCUCACUGCAACCUCCGCCUCCUGGGCUCAAGCAAUUCUCUUGCCUCAGCCUCCCAAGUAGCUGGGAUUAUGGAUGCGCGCCACCACACCCAGCUAAUUUUUGUAUUUUUAGUAGAGAUUGGGUUUCACCAUGUCAGCCAGGUUGGUCUCGAACUCCUGACCUGAAGUGAUCUGCCCGCCUCGGCCUCCCAAAAUACUGGGAUUACAGGCAUGAGUCACCGCACCCCGCCCCUUGGCACUAUAUUUAAGUGAUAUUUUUGGACACUGAGGUAGCCUCAUUCCACAGGUUUAGAUCUGAAGCAUUUUCACUAUUGCUUCUUCCCAUGUAUCUCCUGGUUUGCAGGUCAGUUUCUUCUUUGAACUCAUCAGUGACACAUUGGUUUAUAUGGCUUUUAAUUUCUUUUUUUUUUUUUUUUUUUUGAGACGGAGUCUCGCUCUGUCGCCCAGGCUGGAGUGCAGUGGCGCGAUUUCGGCUCACUGC